rnacentral:rRNA from 1 species
GACGAACGCUGGCGGCGUGCUUAACACAUGCAAGUCGAGCGGUAAGGCCCUUUCGGGGGUACGACGAGCGGCGAACGGGUGAGUAACACGUGGGUGACCUGCCCUCAGCUCUGGGAUAAGCCUGGGAAACCGGGUCUAAUACUGGAUAUGACUCCAUGACGCAUGUUGUGGGGUGGAAAGCCUUGUGCGGCUGAGGAUGGGCCCGCGGCCUAUCAGCUUGUUGGUGGGGUGANGGCCUACCAAGGCGACGACGGGUAGCCGGCCUGAGAGGGCGACCGGCCACACUGGGACUGAGACACGGCCCAGACUCCUACGGGAGGCAGCAGUGGGGAAUCUUGCGCAAUGGGCGAAAGCCUGACGCAGCGACGCCGCGU